UACGUAGGUGGCAAGCGUUUGUCCGGAUUUAUUGGGUUUAAAGGGUGCGUAGGCGGCCCUGUAAGUCAGUGGUGAAAUACUCUAGCUUAACUAGAGGGGUGCCAAUGAUACUGCAGGGCUUGAGUACAGAUGAGGUAGGCGGAAUUGACGGUGUAGCGGUGAAAUGCAUAGAUAUCGUCAAGAACACCUAUAGCGAAGGCAGCUUACUGGGCUGUAACUGACGCUGAGGCACGAAAGUGUGGGGAUCAAACAGG
rnacentral:rRNA from 1 species